rnacentral:rRNA from 1 species
GAUGAACGCUGGCGGCGUGCCUAAUACAUGCAAUUCGAGCGAACAGACGAGGAGCUUGCUCCUCUGACGUUAGCGGCGGACGGGUGAUUAACACUUGGAUAACCUACCUAUAAGACUGGGAUAACUUCGGGAAACCGGAGCUAAUCCCGGAUAAUAUAUUGAACCGCAUGGUUCAUUAUUGAAAGACGGUUUUGCUUUCACUUAUAGAUGGAUCCGCGCCGCAUUAGCUAGUUGGUAAGGUAACGGCUUACCAAGGCAACGAUGCGUAGCCGACCUGAGAGGGUGAUCGGCCACACUGGAACUGAGACACGGUCCAGACUCCUACGGGAGGCAGCAGUAGGGAAUCUUCCGCAAUGGGCGAAAGCCUGACGGAGCAACGCCGCGUGAGUGAUGAAGGUCUUCGGAUCGUAAAACUCUGUUAUUAGGGAAGAACAAAUGUGUAAGUAACUAUGCACGUCUUGACGGUACCUAAUCAGAAAGCCACGGCUAACUACGUG